UUAAAAACUUCCGGUCUCAGCG
rnacentral:piRNA from 1 species